GAGAGAGAGAGAGAGAGAGAGAGAAAAGUAAGCGAUGCAUAUGCAUAUCGACUCCUUCUCGAAAGUAAAGAUCUCCUCUUUUCUAUGAUGAUUAUGGUCGUCUCCUUCUCGAAAGUUUUCUUCUUUCUCUCAUCACUGAAACUGAACCAGAGCGCGAGGCUCACGCUGAGGCUUGAGCAUUGUCCGUUCGUCGUCCGGUGCGAAGCUUCUUCCAACGGAAGGGAAGAAGCCGGAUAUGAAGCUGUGCUGGUGUAGAUAAGCUGAGCAAGAA